rnacentral:rRNA from 1 species
GAACGAUGAAGCCUUUCGGGGUGGAUUAGUGGCGAACGGGUGAGUAACACGUGGGCAAUCUGCCCUUCACUCUGGGACAAGCCCUGGAAACGGGGUCUAAUACCGGAUAAUACUUUUCUCCGCAUGGGGGAAGGUUGAAAGCUCCGGCGGUGAAGGAUGAGCCCGCGGCCUAUCAGCUUGUUGGUGGGGUGAUGGCCUACCAAGGCGACGACGGGUAGCCGGCCUGAGAGGGCGACCGGCCACACUGGGACUGAGACACGGCCCAGACUCCUACGGGAGGCAGCAGUGGGGAAUAUUGCACAAUGGGCGAAAGCCUGAUGCAGCGACGCCGCGUGAGGGAUGACGGCCUUCGGGUUGUAAACCUCUUUCAGCAGGGAAGAAGCGCAAGUGACGGUACCUGCAGAAGAAGCACCGGCUAACUACGUGCCAGCAGCCGCGGUAAUACGUAGGGUGCGAGCGUUGUCCGGAAUUAUUGGGCGUAAAGAGCUCGUAGGCGGCUUGUCGCGUCGGAUGUGAAAGCCCGGGGCUUAACCCCGGGUCUGCAUUCGAUACGGGCAGGCUAGAGUGUGGUAGGGGAGAUCGGAAUUCCUGGUGUAGCGGUGAAAUGCGCAGAUAUCAGGAGGAACACCGGUGGCGAAGGCGGAUCUCUGGGCCAUUACUGACGCUGAGGAGCGAAAGCGUGGGGAGCGAACAGGAUUAGAUACCCUGGUAGUCCACGCCGUAAACGUUGGGAACUAGGUGUUGGCGAC